rnacentral:tRNA from 1 species
CGGGGCGUAGCGCAGCUUGGCAGCGCGUCUGAUUUGGGUUCAGAAGGUCCCGGGUUCAAAUCCCGGCGCCCCGACCA